rnacentral:lncRNA from 1 species
GAUCAUUAUUAUUUCAGAAUUAAAGGUCAACAGAAAUUAAAUGUGUAAUACUCACUAUAGUUGAUUUUAGAUAUAUAAAUUGGAAUGGAUAGUCUCCUUACCUUUUUCCAUUUUUUAAAAAUAUAAAUGAAGUUAUAAGUAAGUUUGUCAUUGCUUUCAUUGGUUUGAUCAAGAUCUUAUGUUUUCAACCUUAUUUUUUCACAAAACUCAAGUUCUUCAACUACAAAUUCACCUAUCGCAAAGGCCGCUAUAGAAGUUCCAACAAGCUCUGUGCUACUUCUGAGGAGAGAGGGUCUGAAUAUUGGGAAAAAGGUUUGAACCCAUCACGUGACACAAAUUAUCCCCAGGAAGAACCUUGCUUUUCUGGUGAAGGUUAAGUUUUAUGAAGGCUUUACAAUGUACCUCCAUGAUGAAAUGAGAUAAUGUAUGUAAGACAUUAUUUUGAAGGUGA